rnacentral:rRNA from 1 species
UAGGGAAUUUUCGUCAAUGGGGGCAACCCUGAACGAGCAAUGCCGCGUGAGCGAAGAAGGUCUUCGGAUUGUAAAGCUCUGUUGCCGGGGGAAAAAGGAAAGGAAAGAGGAAAUGCUUUUUCUUUUGGAUGGUACCCGGCCAGAAAGUCACGGCUAACUACGUGCC